UCCAGAAAUACCAAUAACCGCAGAGGAGCGAUAACUGCAGAAGAGUUGUCAAGAUACUGCUUUGUAAAGUUUUAAAGUGAUCGCACGAUCCCAGUUUUUUUAACCUAACCUAAUUCGCUCCUUCCCUUCCCUUCUUCUCCCAUUCUUCCCCACUAUCUUUGCUAACUCGAUCUAGCCACCGGAGGCAUAAGUAACCACCUUCGCUAUCACAUCCUCCGGACACACUUCUUGAGCACCAAAAAUUGGCGUUGAGGGUUUUUGAUAGAUGAUGAGAAUUAUGGGGUUUGUACAGGGAAAUCAAAAAUCAAAUUAGGGGAUUUUAGUCAUCGAUUUUAGCAAUUGACCUUUGAUCUAAGUUCUCUCGGGAUUUAAUUUUGGCUCUUCCUCUUCUUCCUUUUCACCUCCAACGUGAAGUUCAUCCUUUUUCACAAUCCUGAAUAUCGGUUUUGCAUUUUUAAUUCUUGUUUUGCUUGGUGAAUUGCUACCUUAUUUCAACCUACUUUUAGUUUUCAACUUACUCAAGAGAAGAGCGACAAUGGCUACGAACAAGGUUGAAAGCGAAGUAUAUGAAUACGGAAAGCAGAAUACAUCUGGGUCAGUGAGAUCUACAAUUGGAAAUGUGGAGGGUCCUGAGUUAGCUGAUUGGGGUGGUCCAGAAGAUUCAGAAAAUGUGAUUUCUUACUGGGUAUAAGUUUUCUAAUUUUUUUUAGUGAAAUUCCGUGAUUAUGAUUUGGGCUUUAUCUUACUUUUUAUGUUUUGGUUUGUUAUCUACUCCCUCCGUUACUUUUUAAUAGGCCAGUUUCUUUUUUUGAGAAAAUUAAGAAAAUUAAGAGAACUAAUUAUUGAAAGUGGUCCUCUAGACACUUGUCAAAGAAGUGAAUUGAAAUAGUCCCAUGACACUUAUCAACAAAAGAAAUAAGUGAAAUGGUCCACAUAACACUUGUCAUCAAAAGAAGUUAAAAGAAAAGUGGUCCCAGAAAAUUAAAGUAACAUUUGACUUUCCCAAUUAGGAAACUGGCCUAUUUUUUUUAUUUAUUUAUAAAAUCUGGCCUAUUAAAAAGUAACGGAGGGAGUAUAUAUAUAUUUCUAUUUUUUAUGAAGUCUUAGUUUUGCAUAUCAAGUUCAUUGUUAUGAUGGUUGUAGAAUUUCAAUUUUGUCAUCUACGGUGUGUUGAUUGGCGGAUCUAUGAAAUUCGGAAUUCAGUGUUUUUAGCAUGGAAGUGCUGAGCAGUAAAGUCAGAUGACUUGGACCAUAGUAGAUGAGAUAUGAAACAACUCUUGGCUUGCAGCAUGUUCAGAAGAGAGGAAAGCCACUUGAUUAGCACUUUCACUUGAAAUUAAAACAUGUACUAAAUGUGCUCACAGGUAAAACAGAAUCAUGUUUAACUUAAUUCUAUUUCUUCAUCUUUGCAGGGUAAUGUACAUCUCGGAGAAGUAGCAACAAAAAAAAAAAACUCAUCCAAGAGGUGUUAAGGAGUCACACACUUUCUGCAACCAUUGUGGUGACACCAUGGGCUUGGAGUGGACCAACUACUUCAACUAAGCACACCAAUUUUUCCAUCAGUGUUUCAGUAAACUGUCUUUUAAUUCUGGUAAAUUGCUUGGCCCUGUCUUGUUGUUUGCAGAGUGCUCUCCUAGUAUGACAGCAUUCUGCAAACCCUUCGCUAACAGCCCCCUCCGUUGUAUUCUUAGAUGCAUAACUUUUCACUUGUUUGAUCCCACUUACGCGCCCUGGGUCUCACCUGAGAUCUGCAAUACAAUUGAAAUUUAUUUAUGUGUAUUGAGCCAAUUCCAUAUUUUAUAUUUAUCUGUAUUCAGUUUUAGUUAAAUUUUUUGAUAAGUUUGUGAUUUUCUGGAUAUGCAGUUUUCGUCUUCUACUGGGUAUUUUUAGAAAUGAAUAGUAUAGACUAGUCUUCUUUAUAUGUUUUCAAUACUCUAGGGCCUUAGAAUUCCAUAACUAUUUUAUGCCUUUAGUAUUGGAUAAACAGUCUGGAAAGACUAUUCAUUGAAAGUGUGCAGGGACAAUGCAAGGACCCAAACUCGUGCAUAGAAGAAACGGAACUACUGUGAUGUUAACAAGUUUCCAUUAAAGCAAUGAAACAGACUUUGUAUUGAGUGGCUUUGGUUUCCAUGGCUAGUAAGGGUAUGGAACGAGAACUCUUAGGUCAUUGGAUUAUAGAUGUGGAAUACAUGAGUUUGUUAAUACGAACCCAAAUUUAGGUGGGCAGCAUAUUACCUUACUGACAAGAGAGAUACAACAGUUCAAUCGGUGUAUUGAAAAUGUGAAAAAUUCACUUGAGAGGAAGUUCAAGUACUAUGAUGAAGAAACCCUGGAAGUAUGAAGCUGGAAGUAUGAAGAGAAUGGAUAAACCAUGUUCAAGCGUUGGUGACUUAAUGUUAUUGGUGUCUUCGCCCAGAUAUGAUGUCAAUCAUUUUUUUAAAGUAUGGGAAGUGUUUCCAGUUAACUUGUAUUUAACUUAUUUGAUUCAGAAUUUCUAGUUCUGUAAUACUUAACUAAAUCAAUUUAAACAAUAAAUAGUCUUUCAAUAAU